rnacentral:lncRNA from 1 species
CCAAGUGUAAAAUGUAAUAAGAAUUGGGCUCAAAAUAUACUAAGGCCCAAAUAGCUAACUAAUUCUACAAUAUACAAAAUAUACAAUGAAUAUACAACAAAUAUACAACCCAAUAUCAACCAAUAUCAAUGUCAUUGUUUAGGCUUAAAGACUAGAUAAUCUUGUAGCUCAACACCCUCAGUAAACCACCUUCAAACACCCCCGUUUUUCUUAGCCAUAAAAGUGCAGCCAUGAAACCUCCAUUAAGCCACUCUUAAGCUACAUCAAACAACUCCAAAAUCACUCCACAACGCCAUUGUUUUCAGCCGAAAAAUAAAACUGAGGAAUCGGCCAUUUUUCUUCUUCUGAUUUUGAGAACCAACUUAUAGACAAAAACGAAAGGAGCUGAAACCCGCAAUUCCCAUCUUCGACUCCAAAAAUUCUAAAGUUAAAGAACGAAAAAAGGGUUAGACGAAAGACCAAACAAAAGAAAAAGAAAACGGCGCAAGAGCAGUUAAAAGAAAGGAACGAGGCUAAUCCUAAUUCCUGAAAAAGGAAAGAGAAACGAAGUCUAAACUAAAAAAGUUUAAAGAGAGUGAUUUAGCAAAAAUGGAAAGAAGAUCUGAGUGAAUUCAAAAAAAGAGAGGGCGAGAAACAGAAGCUAGCAACGACUCCAUCUCUGAACAACAAUUCCUCUACUCUAAACUUCCAGCGGCUCUUUUCUUUUUGUUUGGAUCUUCUUCUUCAGAAUAGCCAUUGAAACCACUCCAAAAUCAGCUUAUAAACAUCACAAAGAUCCAUCGUCGAACAAGGUCCGUUUGAGCUUAUGUCGAGGCCCCAUUGCCGGCGUCGAGGUCCCAAUCCUUGGUCUGUGUUCACGUUACUGUUUUGGUUUGGGGGAGGUGAAGUUCGGUCCUUAGCUCAGUUGAAGAUUGUUGUUCGUAGUAUUUCCGUUCCUCUGUAAUUGUUUGCAAUUUUUAAUUGACAAUGACUAUGAAAAGCGGAAAGCUACAGGUACUUACACUUCUGCUCCCUUUUUCUUUUGCUCGUAUUGUCCUUUGAAUGAUUAUAACAUAGUAAUAUAUAGCCUAAUACCUAUGUUACUGGCGUUCAUUACUCUUUAGCUUGCGAAAUUGUGCCUUCCUUCAUUUAUUGUUCAUAAUUUAUACUGAUUUGUUAGGUGAAUAAAUUUUGGAGAGCAUCUGUUCUAAUAACGAUUAAGAUUUUUUUUAAAAAAAAAUUGUUCUAAUGAUUUUAUCUUUUUUAUAAUUCAUGACCUUACAAUCAUCUCAAAUUAAUUUUAGGAUGACUAAAAUAACUUUCGUAGUUUGUUUUAGGCAUGCAAUUAAUCAUCAUGGCUAUAGGUACGAUUCUCGUGAAGUAACUAUGAUACCUAAUUUCUAAUUUCGGGGGUGCAUUUUAUGUAACCCGAUUAUAACAACUUUGAAUAAUAAAUCACUUUAAAAUAAUUUGAGGCGUGUCAUGCCGAAUGAAUUCUCUAAACUCAUGGCCCUCAUUUAAUUAAUUUUAACUCUCUAGAGAUCGAGGCGUGCUAUUAAUGAAUUUUCCAUGGCCUUUGCAAAGUUAAAAAACACAUAAUUUCUUUAGGCGCGUUAGUUAAAUAAUUUACUUUCCUAAAUUCGGGUGCGCAUUUAUGUGACCCAAAUCCAAAUCUCAACGUUAAAUAAGAAGUGUUGCGGACGGGGGUGCAUUUAUGUGACGUGAUUCGAAAUAUAUUUUAAAUGAUGUUGUAAUUCUCCUUUAAUUAAAAUUAAUUGAAAGUGAUUUAAGUUAACAAAAUUGCACAUAUGUUUAAAAUAUUUUAAAGUUAGAUAACAAGACAAUAAUAACAGUUGAGCUACCGCGCUAGAACCACAGAACUCGGAAAUGCCUAACACCUUCUUCCGGGUUAAUACAAUUUCUUACCCGGAUUUCAGAUUCGCAGACUGUGAUAAAGAGUCAACCCUUUCCUCGAAUUGGGAUUUGAAUCGGUGACUUGGGACACUGUUAAUUAUUCCAAAUGGUAACUCUAAAUUUUUAAUAAAUAAAUAAUUCCGUUUCGAUUGUCCUUUAAUUGGAAAAACCACUUGGCAUAUCAUUAAUUAUUCUAAAUGACAACUCUACAUUUUUAAUAAAUAAAUAAUCUCGUUUUCAUUGCGGAAAUAAGCAAUCACUUCCAUGCCUUUGGCAGGAUAAAGUAAAAAAAGAGGUGCCACAAACCAAAGUUUCUUCCAUCUCUUCGAUCCCGUUCGAUGUAAGUUUUUUAAAGUUUUUUUAUAAAUUUGGGAUAAACUAGAAAAUCCUCCGGCAAAACUUUGAUUAAUCUCCUCCAGAUGGCCUAACCUCCCGUGGCAAAGCUUUUUUUUUUUUAUUUUUUUGCUUUAAAGGCAUCCAAUGAUAGCCCUCAAGCACUGUAACAUAACGUUCUUUGCCCAAUUUCAUUCGCUUGGUAUACAUUAGUUUUCUUCGCUAUCGUGAGUCAAAAUAGUCGACGUUUCUUAAUUUUCUUUAUUGUGGGUUAGAUUCAAGGUAAGUCCAACUCGUUACUUCUUCUUUUUUAUUCUAGUAUUUAAAAAUUUCUCAUCAAAGUGGGUGAGCGUAUCUCUAGGUUAAUAUUAUAUUUUAAGGGUGUACACUACAAUAAAAUUAGGUUUUAGCGGCAGAUAAAUUCUGUAGCCAAACACAAAAAUCUGUAGCAAGUAAGCUUGUCACGUUACUCAUCUUUGUUGCAAGAGUUGGUCACCAUUAUUGUCCUGGAUAAUAUUGUGGCGCUUAGGCUAUAUUUGGUUUAGUCCAUUGUGUGGUGUGUAUUCUUCUCAGGCAGGAGAUAUUUUAAGAGUUGUGGUGUCUGUCAUUUUAUUAUAUGUCCUAUUUAGGUAGUGAAACUGUAUGGGGAUAAGGGGAGAACCUGAUAUUAUGACAGGAGUUGAAGCUACUCAGUAGUUGUAUUGGCAUUAUUGUUGAUGGACCUUGAGGCAUCAAAUACUUGCAUUUAUAAUUCCUUUCAACAUUAGAACUUACUAGUCAUGUUGUCUCCAAAGUGUAGUACAUGAUGAGUUGAACUGAAUUUAGUUGUGUAUUCUCUGUGGCAAUUUGCAGAUUGUUGGUGCAGUAGUGGUAGUAAGAUAUUCGCGAGAAACUCUUGUGUCCUUAGACAUCUGGGGAAGUGAACUUGGUAAUAAAUUUUGAGUGUUUAAAAUUCUCUUUACAUCAUCUUGUUACUCUAGUGGAGUUG